UACGUAGGGGGCGAGCGUUGUCCGGAGUUACUGGGCGUAAAGCGCACGCAGGCGGUCUGCUAAGUUUGGAGUGACAGUUGGUGGCUUAACUGCCAAAGUGCUUCGAAAACUGACAGACUUGAGGGCUUCAGAGGGACACGGAAUUCCGGGGUGGAGUGGUGAAAUGCGUAGAGAUCCGGAGGAACACCAAAGGCGAAGGCAGUGUCCUGGGGAGUACCUGACGCUCAGGUGCGAAAGCGUGGGGAGCGAACAGG
rnacentral:rRNA from 1 species